rnacentral:rRNA from 1 species
AAUGAACGCUGGCGGCAGGCCUAAAACAUGCAAGUCGAACGCUUGUAGCAAUACAAGAGUGGCGCACGGGUGCGUAACACGUGGGAAUAUGCCUUUUGGUACGGAACAACGUUUGGAAACGAACGCUAAUACCGUAUGGUCCCUUCGGGGUAAAGAUUUAUCGCCAAAAGAUUAGCCCGCACUGGAUUAGCUAGUUGGUGAGGUAAUGGCUCACCAAGGCGACGAUCCAUAGCUGGUCUGAGAGGACGAUCAGCCACACCGGGACUGAGACACGGCCCAGACUCCUACGGGAGGCAGCAGUUAGGAAUAUUGGACAAUGGGCGCAAGCCUGAUCCAGCCAUGCCGCGUGAACGAUGAAGGCCUUCGGGUUGUAAAGUUCUUUAGCCGAUGAUUAUAAUGACUGUAGUCGGAAAAUAAGCCCCGGCUAACUUCGUGCCAGCCGCCGCAGUAA